GUUAAGAAUAUUGGACAAUGGGGGCAACCCUGAUCCAGCGACGCCGCAUGAGCGAUUGAAGGCCUUCGGGUUGUAAAGCUCACUAAGUAGGGAAGAAUAAAAUGACGGUACCUACCUAUAGCACCGGCUAAUUACGUGCCAGCAGCCGCGGUAAUACGUAUGGUGCGAGCGUUGUUCGGAAUCAUUGGGCGUAAAGGGCGUGUAGGCGGAAAAUUAAGUGGGGAGUGAAAACUCCGGGCGCAACCCGGAGCUUGCUUUCCAAACUGGUUUUCUUGAGUACAGGAGGGGCAAGGGGAAUUGGCAGUGUAGCGGUGAAAUGUGUAGAUAUUGCCAGGAACACCGGUGGCGAAGGCGCCUUGCUGGACUGUAACUGACGCUGAUGCGCGAAAGCGUGGGGAGCAAACGGGAUUAGAUACCCUUGUAGUCC
rnacentral:rRNA from 1 species